ACGAACGCUGGCGGCAUGCCUAACCCAUGCAAGUCGAACGAGACCUUCGGGUCUAGUGGCGCACGGGUGCGUAACGCGUGGGAACCUGCCCUUAGGUUCGGAAUAACUCCCCGAAAGGGGUGCUAAUACCGGAUAAUGUCUUCGGACCAAAGAUUUAUCUCCUUUGGAUGGGCCCGCGUUGGAUUAGCUAGUUGGUAGGGUAAAAGCCUACCAAGGCGACGAUCCAUAGCUGGUCUGAGAGGAUGAUCAGCCACACUGGGACUGAGACACGGCCCAGACUCCUACGGGAGGGAGCAGUGGGGAAUAUUGGACAAUGGGCGAAAGCCCGAUCCAGCAAUGCCGCGGGAGUGAUGAAGGCCUUAGGGUUGUAAAGCUCUUUUACCCGGGAUGAUAAUGACAGUACCGGGAGAAUAAGCACCGGCUAACUCCGUG
rnacentral:rRNA from 1 species